rnacentral:rRNA from 1 species
GAUGAACGCUGGCGGCGUGCCUAAUACAUGCAAGUCGAGCGAACAGACGAGGAGCUUGCUCCUCUGACGUUAGCGGCGGACGGGUGAGUAACACGUGGAUAACCUACCUAUAAGACUGGGAUAACUUCGGGAAACCGGAGCUAAUACCGGAUAAUAUAUUGAACCGCAUGGUUCAAUAGUGAAAGACGGUUUUGCUGUCACUUAUAGAUGGAUCCGCGCCGCAUUAGCUAGUUGGUAAGGUAACGGCUUACCAAGGCAACGAUGCGUAGCCGACCUGAGAGGGUGAUCGGCCACACUGGAACUGAAACACGGUCCAGACUCCUACGGGAGGCAGCAGUAGGGAAUCUUCCGCAAUGGGCGAAAGCCUGACGGAGCAACGCCGCGUGAGUGAUGAAGGUCUUCGGAUCGUAAAACUCUGUUAUUAGGGAAGAACAAAUGUGUAAGUAACUAUGCACGUCUUGAUGGUACCUAAUCAGAAAGCCACGGCUAACUACGUG